rnacentral:rRNA from 1 species
UACGUAGGGGGCAAGCGUUGUCCGGAUUUAUUGGGCGUAAAGAGCGUGUAGGCGGUCUGGUAGGUCCGUUGUGAAAACUCGAGGCUCAACCUCGAGACGCCGAUGGAAACCAUCAGACUAGAGUCCGGAAGAGGAGAGUGGAAUUCCUGGUGUAGCGGUGGAAUGCGCAGAUAUCAGGAGGAACACCGAUGGCGAAGGCAGGUCUCUGGGCCACUACUGACGCUGAGAAGCGAAAGCAUGGGGAGCGAACAGG